AUACUUACCUGGACGGGUCAAUGGACAAUCAAGAAGGCCCAUGGCCUAGGUUAGUGACGUCCCUUGCGCUAUGGAGGGGUGCUCGCCUAAGGUCAGCCCGGAGCGGUUGAGCCUACGUCAUAAUAUGUGGCAGCAGGGGCCUGCGUUCGCGCGGCCCCUAU
rnacentral:snRNA from 1 species